CACAGGGAUCAUCCUAUCAGCAUGGGCUUGUCAAUAGUUAGAUAAUCUUUCAAAGUUCCCAUUAACUGUCACUUUUUAAGAUGUUUAGUUCAAUUCUGUGGAAAGUGGGAAUUAAUCUAGUCAAGCAUAUUCUUAACUUUCAAUCACUCCAGAAAAACAUUACAGAAUGAUAGAAUCCCUACCACAUGCUAUGAUAAGCUAUACAAAGGGAACAAUUGGCUUUUUCUUCUUAGCUAUAAUGGUCUAGCAGGAAGGGCCCUUAGCAUUGUUAUUUUCUGUGUAGUUGUUUCUCCUGUAGCAUACUGUAUGUAAAAGUUAAACAUUAAUACCACUUGGGACUUUUACAGUGCAUUUAAUGGGCUCAGCAUGUCUUAGAGCCAGUCUCUGAGAGCUGCAGUAUCUUAACAGCACUCCUAAUGGCAGGUUACUCUUUUUCUAUUAUAUUAAAGACCGAAGGUGAAGGGAGAAAGAGGGUUAGAAGGAAUAACAUCUCAAGACUGGAUUUGUCAUUGAAAGGUUGAAGACUCAGAUUGACCCCUCCAAUACUGCAGGAAAGUGGUGAGUGUUCUCGGUCACCACAGGCAUAAAUUAAUGAGGCCGUGUUUCCAAACCUUGCAACCCACCCCUUUAUCCUAGUCUAUAAUUUAUUGGAAAGAUAAAGAACAUUUGAUUGAACCCAUAAACACCCUUGAUGAUCAUAUUAGCAUUUCCUUGAGUCUUUCUAUAAUUUCUUCCCCUUUCUGGUUGUUUGAGAGAAAGAGUGCAGCCCUUCCUUUGCCUUGCCAGGAAUUACAAAGGUUAUCUUCUUAACAGAUUAUAUUUGAAGAGUGAAAGGGCACACUUUUAGUCAUUCACUUGGGACAACAGGCAUAAACUGGGUUGUAUGAUCACCUGAGAUUAGCUUUUUCUUUUAAAGAGGAAACACUUCCAAUAGAAAACAGUUGCUCUUCAGCCUCACUCUUUUUUAAAGAAGAGUCUGUUAUCCCAGGUGGCUUAAUGAGCCACCCCAUACAUCUGCUUUCCACCUUCCUGAAUUUACUUCCUUGAGAGUCAAGAGCAGACUCUUAGGAUGUCAGCACAACAGCUCUUUCUGUUACUCACUCACUCACUCACUUCUCUGCAUCAUCCAUCGUUGCUACCUAUAGCUUCUUCCUCAAGGUCCUUCCCUUUGUUUCUAACAUUGUGCUCUUCUGACUCUUCUAUUUUGAAUAACCUCUUCCAUCUUUUGUUCUUUUUGUAAUUGCUCUACUACUCAUUCUGCUCCCUUCUGACUCUAGGCAAUGUAGUUUUGCUAUAAAAUGCUUUCUUGCUCUGCCUUCCUCUUGUUUUGGCUUCCUUUCAGGAAGUACAUGGUUCAACCCUGAGCUCUAUGUAGUUAACCCCAAAUCUAUGUGUCAACCCUGACUAUUGUUAACAUGUUUUUCUUUUUUUAGUUGGCACACAUAAUAACUGUAUAUAUUUAUGGGAUACAGAGUGAUAUUUUGAUACACAAAUACAAUGUAUAAGGAUCACAUCAGGGUAAUUAGCAUACUCAUCACCUCAAAC